AAACCGAAAAAACAAAAAAACAAGGAAUGAAGCUUCAUUUAAAAAAAAGAACUCCCUGAGCUUUCCUGUGAAGAAGCAACUCCAGAAGUCACUGUCCAGCUGCUCCCUGGGCACAAGUCCUAGGAUUUCCCACCCAUCGACAGCACACCUGGAGGCUUUCGGGUUUGUCAGGAACGCAGGAUUUGUAGGAAACCGGAGACAGCGGUGUCAUACUAGAAAACCGCCACUAGGGGGAAGCAGAAUCCACACAUCCGUGUGAGGAGCGUGAAAAGGCGUGGCGCGCGGACCCGGAAGGGCACAGGAAGAGCAGGAGGGGUCCAGGUCCUAACCUCCUCUCCCCUUGCCAAGCAUCCCACCCUCCAAACACCUGAACAGGAGCUGCUGGUCCUGCACUGGAAGCACCUGACCACUGUGUACCGUUGCCUCAUCCAGUGUCUUCCGUCACAAUGAGGAUUGUAUUUCUCCAUCCUGUCACUCUAAGUUCAGCCAUAUGACUUGCUUUGGCCAAGAGGAUGUCAAAAGAUAUGACAUAAGAAGAGGCUUACAAAACCACUUGCCAGCUUGUUCCGUUCUGCUUUCGCUAUGAAAAAGCGUCCUUUGUGUCUUUUAGGAAGAGAACGAACGAGUAACGGAAUCCGUGCAGAGGAGACACGGUAGAGCUGACUUGUCGCAUGUGUGGUCAGAUGGGCCGUGGGCAGAGAGAAGAGCAGUGAACCCUGUGAAAAAUAAACCUGAACCCUUUCCACAAGAAAUAUUUACCAGGAGAAAACCAGCGCCGAAAACCAGGCAAGCACGCAAAGCCCGAAGGAGAAGCGAAAUGGGAAAGCACUGGCCUCGCUGACCUACCUCUGCAAACACCCCGGGAGCUGCUAUCAUACGAUAUUGAUUGCAUGUUCUUAGUUACUGCAUUCUCAGUGCUCUGGCGGCUAGAGCCUCACGUGACCGCUGGGGGAGACACUGCCCUUCGGGGCUUACCUAGGCUCACGAUCCAGAGCACCUUUCGUAUGCAAAUCAACAAAGCCAAGGCCCACUCCCCCAACGACCUCAAUUCUCCAGCUUUCACACUGCAAGCCUCUGUCUCUACCCUAAUCAACCCAGGGGCCAGGUACAGACAAUUUAGGACCGCCCCUACGCCCCAGAGCCCGCGGAGAUCUUUCAGGCCAGCCAAUCCGGAACUUGUUUAACCCGAUUCCUCUGCUCCGCCCGCUCCCUCCCGGCAAACCCGGCAAAACCGUAGUGCCGGCGUCGGCCAGGCUUCCCUCUCACUCCGGCCUCCUGACAGGCUCUGGAGCGUCCCUACUGGUUCAGUGUGGGGAGCCAUGCCUCCUUCCUCUAGGGGUCUAAAAAUGAAGAUCCUGAGAUUAGAGACACCAACCAAUCCUUCUGGUUUGCCCAGUCCUUCUACGUUUUAGCACUGAAUGCCCCUGGGUCCCGUGGACACUCUCAGCGUUGGAGAAACAAAUCGUUCCAGGAUGUUCAGCAGCAGCCCUGCUCUCUGCGACGCCUGUAGUAUGCCCACACCAACAGUCCCGACAACCCAGAGUGUGCCCAGACAUUGGCGGUUGCUCCCAGACAGGGACAAUGGUGUAGACAGCCCAGGUGAAGUGUAUCUGGAGUCUGUCAUUUCGUGAUUCAAGGAUUUAAAACAAAACUGCCUUGAAAGCAGAGUGGAAGCUUCUGAGUUCAGCUCUGUGUUAUCCAAGCAAGAAAGUUAAAGUUCGGGGCGCCUAGGUGGCUCAGUCGGUUGAGCGUCCGACUUCAGCUCGGGUCAUGAUCUCACAGUCUGUGAGUUCGAGCCCGCG